rnacentral:snRNA from 1 species
CUGCCUUACUGGCAGGGGAGACACCAUGAUCCUGAAGAUGGUUUUCCCAGGGUGAGGCUCAACCAUUGCACUGCAGGUGUGCUGACCCCUGUGAUUUCCCCAAAUGCAGGAAACUUGACUGCAUAAUUUGUGGUAGUGGGGGACUGCAUUCAUGCUCAAAAAACACUCUCCUG